UGCGCUCUCCGAUAACGCGCCUUUGUUACGCAUUUCGAUGACACAUUUUAGACUGGUUCUACUGGUUCUGUAGCGUUCGACUCGCCGGCACUCAGUAACCGAAGUACGUAUUUUUUAUGCAGGUGGUUGUGGCACGUGGCACGAGCGGUUUUACUUAACAAUAGACAAUAGGAUUAGGCGUCGGGCUCUAUUAGGAAGCUACGAACUAUA